GGAAAAGAAACUAACAAGGAUUCCCCUAGUAGCGGCGAGCGAAGCGGGAAGAGCUCAAAUUUAUAAUCUGGCACCUUCGGUGUCCGAGUUGUAAUCUCUAGAAGUGUUUUCCGCGUUGGACCGCACACAAGUCUGUUGGAAUACAGCGGCACAGUGGUGAUACCCCCGUACACGGUGCGGACGCCCAGCGCUUUGUGAUACACUUUCAAUGAGUCGAGUUGUUUGGGAAUGCAGCUCAAAUUGGGUGGUAAAUUCCAUCUAAAGCUAAAUAUUGGCGAGAGACCGAUAGCGAACAAGUACCGUGAGGGAAAGAUGAAAAGCACUUUGGAAAGAGAGUUAACAGUACGUGAAAUUGUUGGAAGGGAAACGCUUGAAGUUAUACUUGCUUGCCGGAGCAAUUCGGUAUGCAGGCCAGCAUCAGUUUUCCGGGGUGGAUAAUGGCGGUUUGAAGGUAGCAGCUUCGGCUGUGUUAUAGCUUUCCGCUGGAUACAUCCUGGGGGACUGAGGAACGCAGCGUGCUUUUAGCGAAGGUUUCGACCUUUCCACGCUUAGGAUGCUGGUGAUGUGACUUUAAACGACCCGU
rnacentral:rRNA from 1 species